rnacentral:lncRNA from 1 species
UGCAUUAAUCGAGUAAAAAUGGAGCAAUUUCAGAAAACUUUAAUGAUUGGUUUAGAAGGUGUUGGAAAUACCUGAUGGGUGCCCCCAUAUAAUGUAAUGUUCAAGUCCGUAUCUUAUAUAAAAUAACCCCAUAAAAGAUUUUUAGUAAAAUUCGAAAUAGACGGUACACAAUACAGUCAUUAUCAUUUAUGAUAAGGAAUCCGAAUAAGAUUAAUUAAUAGUUAUAUCAGUGACGGAUUCAAAAAAAG